GAUGAACGCUGGCGGCGUGCCUAAUACAUGCAAGUCGAGCGAACGGACGAGAAGCUUGCUUCUCUGAUGUUAGCGGCGGACGGGUGAGUAACACGUGGAUAACCUACCUAUAAGACUGGGAUAACUUCGGGAAACCGGAGCUAAUACCGGAUAAUAUUUUGAACCGCAUGGUUCAAAAGUGAAAGAGGGUCUUGCUGUCACUUAUAGAUGGAUCCGCGCUGCAUUAGCUAGUUGGUAAGGUAACGGCUUACCAAGGCAACGAUGCAUAGCCGACCUGAGAGGGUGAUCGGCCACACUGGAACUCAGAAACGGACCAGACUCCUACGGGAGGCAGCAGUAGGGAAUCUUCCGCAAAGGGCGAAAGCCUGACGGAGCAACGCCGCGUGAGUGAUGAAGGUCUUCGGAUCGUAAAACUCUGUUAUUAGGGAAGAACAUAUGUGUAAGUAACUGUGCACAUCUUGACGGUACCUAAUCAGAAAGCCACGGCUAACUACGUG
rnacentral:rRNA from 1 species